rnacentral:misc_RNA from 1 species
UGAUCUUCUGAAACUAAAAAUAUCCUCUAUCUGAACCCUGUUCGGCUGAGCUUGCUCACCUGUAUCUUUACUGUAGAUCACCAAUUUAAGAAAAGCAGCAAAUAGCAGAAACAGGGUAGAUUAUCUAUCAAACAAGCACGAAAACAAUUAUGAUUGAGCUCCAAUUCAACUGAUUAGCACCGAUUCGAGCUCAAAAUUCAAAGAAUUGGAAGAAACAAGGAAAACUGACCACAGUAGUGGCAUCAUGUAAAACGGAAGUGAUAGUUCAUUCCCCCUUUUCUGAAUUGGGGUUUAACAGAGAGAGACAGCGACGGCAGCGAGGGGAACUGAGGCCAGGUUGAUGGUGGGAUCGUGAUGGAGAUUCACGGUCCCUAAUUUCUGCUCGUAAACCUCCCGAGUCCCCAUCUUCCAAUACACUGUCUUCGAUAUUAACAUUCUUUCCAGUAACCUUCAAUGCCUGUUAAAUAAGCAUACGCAGAUUUCAAUGGAAAACAGAUGAAACAACCGAGAAAAAAGAGAUUUAAAUGGAA